rnacentral:rRNA from 1 species
UGCCUAUAGGUUAUUUAGUUAUAGGUAUUUUCUGCCCGGUGGUUUUUAACGGCCGCGGUACUCUGACCGUGCAAAGGUAGCAUAAUCAUUUGCCCUUUUAUUGGGGGCUGGAAUGAAUGAGAUAACGAGGCUCUGACUGUCUCUUUUUUUAAGGUGAAACUUGUUGUUCUUGUGAAGAAACAGGAGUGAAGGAGAAAGACAAGAAGACCCUAUUAAGCUUGACCUAUUUUUUGUACUUAUUUUUUUGUAAAAAUAAAGAUGUAUAAUAAUAAUAAGGGUUUAAUUGGGGUGAUUAAAAAAGAAAGAAUCUUUUUUUAUAAUAAAGACUUAUUUGUUAAAAAAAGAGCCAGAAGGUUUUGAAAAAGAGAAAAAGUUACUAUAGGGAUAACAGCGUAAUUUUUUCUGAGAGUUCGUAUCGAAGAGAGAGAUUGCGACCUCGAUGUUGACUUAUUGUGUCCUCUGGGUGUAGGGGCUUUUAGGGUUAGUCUGUUCGACUAUUAAAACAAU